AUAACUGUAUUGAUAAACCAGAUGAAGCCACAGUGGUGGAACUGGAAAAAAUGUUUUUUGGCUGAUGCUGGACCCAGAACUGACGGACUGCACAGCAAGAGCUGCAAAUCAAAGUGAAGAGGAUGAAAAGGGACUUCAUGAGCAAGUACUUGAUGCGCGUGGUGACGAGAUCCCAGAUGUGAAGAAACAGCAAGUGGCUGAGGAGAAGCAGGAACUGGAAAGGAAAUUCUCCUGUUUGAGUGAGGAGGUACACCAUGGGCUGGGGCAUGGGCUGGUAAGUUGGGAGUGGGUUACAGUGAGACUGAGCUCUGGUCCUCUGGGGGGGGGGGGGGGGGGGGGGGGGGGGGGGGGGGGGGGGGGGGGGGGGGGGGGGGGGGGGGGGGGGGGGGGGGGGGGGGGGGGAGGUGGCAAUGGAAGGAGGAGAAAUAACAAUGAGUCCACUGGUUAG
rnacentral:lncRNA from 1 species